rnacentral:rRNA from 1 species
UCCGGUUGAUCCUGCCGGACCCCACUGCUAUCGGGGUGGGAUUAAAACAUGCAAGUCGAGCGCCUUCAAGCUAUGGUGAAGGCGCGGCAAACGGCUCAGUAACACGUGGCCAACCUACCCUUGGGACGGAGACAACCCCGGGAAACUGGGGCUAAUCCCCGAUAGGUAAGGAAUCCUGGAAUGGAUCUUUGCUGAAAGGGCGUCUGGACCAUGCUUCUUGACGUCGCCCAAGGAUGGAGCCGCGGCCGAUCAGGUAGUUGGCGAGGCAACGGCUCACCAAGCCUAUAACCGGUACGGGCCGUGAGAGCGGUAGCCCGGAGAUGGGUACUGAGACAAGGACCCAGGCCCUACGGGGCGCAGCAGCUGCGAAAACUCCGCAAUGCGCGAAAGCGUGUCGGGGCUACCCCGAGUGCCGCCCGUUGAGGGCGGCUUUUCCGCGGUGUAAGGAGCCGUGGGAAUAAGGAGAGGGCAAGACUGGUGUCAGCCGCCGCGGUAAUACCAGCUCUCCGAGUGGUGGGGACGAUUAUUGGGCUUAAAGCGUUCGUAGCCGGCUUAACAAGUCUUCCGUUAAAUCCAACGAUCUAAUCGUUGGGCUGCGGGAGAUACUGUUGGGCUAGGAGGCGGGAGAAGCCGACGGUAUUCUCGGGGUAGGGGUGAAAUCCUGUAAUCCCGGGAGGACCACCAGUGGCGAAGGCGGUCGGCUAGAACGCGCUCGACGGUGAGGGACGAAAGCUGGGGGAGCGAACCGGAUUAGAAACCCGGGUAGUCCCAGCUGUAAACGAUGCGGGCUAGGUGUUGGGGUGGCCACGAGCCACUUCAGUGCCGCAUGGAAGCAAUUAAGCCCGCCGCCUGGGGAGUACGGCCGCAAGGCUGAAACUUAAAGGAAUUGGCGGGGGAGCACCACAAGGCGUGAAGCUGCGGUUUAAUUGGAGUCAACGCCGGG